rnacentral:rRNA from 1 species
UACGUAGGUGGCAAGCGUUGUCCGGAUUUACUGGGCGUAAAGAGCGCGCAGGCGGUCGGAUAAGUCGAAUGUGAAAGCCCCCGGCUCAACUGGGGAGGGUCAUUCGAUACUGUUCGACUCGAAGGCAGGAGAGGGAAGUGGAAUUCCCGGUGUAGUGGUGAAAUGCGUAGAUAUCGGGAGGAACACCAAUUGCGAAGGCAGCUCGCUGGGACGUAACUGACGCUGAGACGCGAAAGCGUGGGGAGCAAACAGG